rnacentral:rRNA from 1 species
GACGUAGGGUCCAAGCGUUGUCCGGAAUCAUUGGGCGUAAAGAGCGUGUAGGCGGCCCGGUAAGUCCGCUGUGAAAGUCCAGGGCUCAACCCUGGGAUGCCGGUGGAUACUGUCGGGCUCGAGUCCGGAAGAGGAGUGUGGAAUUCCUGGUGUAGCGGUGAAAUGCGCAGAUAUCAGGAGGAACACCAAUGGCGAAGGCAGCACUCUGGGACGUGACUGACGCUGAGACGCGAAAGCGUGGGGAGCAAACAGG